GUGCCAGCAGCCGCGGUAAGACGGAGGGGGCAAGCGUUGUUCGGAAUUAUUGGGCGUAAAGGGCUCGUAGGCGGACCGGUGUGUCUGGCGUGAAAUCUCCACUGCUUAACAGGGAGGGGCCGCUGGAAACUGCCGAUCUUGAGUAUGGUAGAGGACCAUGGAAUUUCGGGUGUAGCGGUGGAAUGCGUAGAUAUCCGAAAGAACACCGGUGGCGAAGGCGGUGGUCUGGACCAAAACUGACGCUGAGGAGCGAAAGCCAGGGGAGCAAACGGGAUUAGAAACCCCGGUAGUCC
rnacentral:rRNA from 1 species